CACCACAAUUAGUGCUCUGUAGCUGUUCUUAUGGUAGCAGUUGUGACAUUCCUCUGUGGGAAAGAAACUGUCACACAAUUAAACAUCUUUUUCUUAGCAAAACAGAAAGUGGGCAUAUGUAUGACAAACAAAA
ensembl:snoRNA